GGGACUGCAAAUUGCUGUUCUCAGCUUUUUUCUCUCCUCUCCUCCACCCCCGCCUCCCCCGAAAAAAGGCAGUGCUUUCUCUUAGGCUCUUAAAAAUGAUUCAGAAUUUUAACCAUCUGCUGUACCCGGAGCUCUUCGCUGGUGCUGCACAGCUGAAAUUUUGCAAAGGGAAGAAAUAGCAAAGCUUUCCAAAACAGAAAACUGUUUUGCCUGACUUGGAAAGUAUUUAAUGGUCAGUGGAAAAAAAUGAGGAAGAGGAGGGUGUGGCUGCUGCUGGAAGGCUCUGGCCCGGCAAAGGGUCCCUGGCUUGUAGGGAUGUGGUCCCAAAUCGGCACAAAAUGAAGACUUCUUUUAGAGGAUUGAUUGGUAAGAGAAUGAAGUUGACCAUCAUCAGAUGCUUUUGUAAUACCUUGUCCUUGUCAGAAAGUGGGGCAGACAGGUCCUUUGGCUUUGCACAGAGGUCCAUGUAGUCUUUCCAGCAAACAAUCCCAUCCAACACUCUAUUUUUGUAGGCUUUGGAUAGAAUAAUUCUUUCCUAUUCCUACUGAUGUCCCUUAGCAAGGCAUUAAUUUUCACAUGCUCAGGCUGCAUAUUGAAAAAUAACAUAUUCCUAUAGUUUGAAUUUACUUCUUGUUUAAUUUAGCUGAAUCAUUUCCCCUUCAAGACUGGAAGCAGGAGAGAAAGUUGGACUACAGAUCCAGACUUUCAGGCUGUGUAUCUCUGUUACGUUCCGUGUUGCUCAUGUGCUCACUAACAUAAAUAGUUUGAUCACUUACUUUGUUUUCAUAUAUGGCAGUCUCUUAAAAGUGACAUUGUUGUAGACACCUGCCCUUGCACUCUUGUUACUUCUGUAGCUUUAAUGAGGAAAGGCUCAUUAGCAUGCUCCAGGAAGCUGUUUCCCUGGCAGGCGGAUAUUAGAAGGAUAAUGUUUUCAAUAUAGAACUCUAUUUUCCUGCUUGAUUUACCUGACAUUAUUGCAUAUCCCUG
rnacentral:lncRNA from 1 species